rnacentral:lncRNA from 1 species
AUUUUUUUUUUUUGUUUGACGACAACAUUAUAAAGAAAACAAGGUAUCAGGUGUCGUCGUCUCUUCUUGUUGGAGAUCGUAUGAAAUUCAAGAUUUGCGGAAAGAAAGAACAAAACGAGAAGUUUUUGGAAACCUGGAUUCCUGGAAGGCCAACCAUACGAAGAACCAAUAAAAUACUGGUUUUCAAUGUAUAUGAAGUGCUCUGCUGAUCUGAUUGCGUUGACGUAUGCUGUGUGUAUGCUCUUAUCAAUUCUUAGGUUCUUCUGGCAAACAAGGUUCUGCGUGGAAACAUAUAAAUAACGAUUAGAAUCUCAAAAAAAAGUCAAAUGCGAUAUUAAAGUACUCCAGAAGUGAUCAGUGAAUGCCGAAGUACAGGGCACGUUAAGUUAAAUUAGAUCAAAUUCCUGAAGCAACCAGUGGCAACCAUCCGGAUGGUCAAAUUCAGGUGGUUCCGAGAGCUUGAUCUGGUGUAAAAAGAUAAAAUGAUACAGCUGCAAGCUAAUACAGUAUAUACAUAAUGUUAAUAUUAACGAGUAUAUUUUUAUUAUUAUAGUGUGCUUAUGGGCUUUUGAAGAGAAUCAUAUGCUUAAACUCCCAUUCGAAUCCUUCUGAUCAAAUCAGCUGGUUCAGGGGCGAGAAGCUGAUAGUGCGGUUAGAAAAUAGUGUUUUUUUCAGUUUGCUUUCAUGAAUGACGAAAGGAACCAAAGUAAUUCGGCGGCCUUUAGUCUCUAAAACCUGGUAUUUGGUAAUAUCGUGAUCAGAAAAUGAUGAAUACAUGAAUAAUAUUCGAAAUCCAUUUAUUGUAGCAAACUAGGCUAGCCUAAGAAGAACCUACUAUGAUAAUCCUCUGGGAUUUGGUGAUAGUGUCUGUGGAGGGGAAAAGGAGUGAUAACUUAGACUCUAGUGAUUGAUGCUCAGAGGAGGAGAGAGAGAGAGAGAGAGAGAGAGAGAGAGAGAUAGAGAGAGAGUAGUAGAGAGAGAGAGAGAGAGAGAGAGGGAGAGAUAGAUAGAGAUAGAGAUAGAGAGAGAGAGAGAGAUAGAGAUAGAGAUAGAGAGAGAGAGAGAGAGAGAGAGGCGAAUAGUAUGGUUCAAUGACCGUGAUCCCAGAAAAGGACAGAAUAAUUAAGUGAUGGCGCUCCUAGCUUGAUCCUUCUCUGAAAGCUUGUCUGGUAUCAUGUGAUGCAACUACCAAAGAUGGAGAAAAAAUAUAUCUGAGAGAAAGAGGACUAGAGAUUUAAAGAUGGAUGAUAGUGUGGGCGUUUUUCUUGGUGCAACCACCAACGCCUACUUGACCCAGUUCAGAUCUUUAACGCUUCAUGAAAAAAAAAGAUACAGAAAUACAUUUAUCUGAAUUACCCAAAUAUAUUAAUGAAAUAAUAAAAAAUGUCAACAAAAGGACGACACAAGGAAGCUAAAAAUACCAGUGGAAUGUCAUGUGACAGAAAGCAAUUUUUAGCGUCACAAAUAAUCUAAUUAUUUCUUACAAACCUUCUUCCGAGCUUCGCUAACAGUCUUUGGAAAUCCUUUUACAGAGCCGGAGUCAAUGGACCGGAACACCUGAACAGGAAGGGGGAAAGUUAAAAGCCAGAAUUCAUAUACUGAAGAUAAAAUCAGUGCUAAGUAGAAUCUGGCAACACCUGAACAUGCCAGCUUCCGGGGUCAUUUUCCUUGGAGACAUGAAGGCUAGGAUCAUCAUCUGGAACAGUAAGUGAUGGGCUGAGGAUCCAUGGGAUGCGUUCAAGCUUUAACAAAGCGUCCUCGCCAUGAUGAGAUGCUUUUCGCAAGUAUUGUCUCAGCUUCCACCAUUUUCUUGACUUUAGCCAACGCUGCUCAAAGUUUUUAAGGACGUCAUAAGCAGCAGGGCCCUCAAUCUUGCAGUGUAGGUCAUGCCACGGUUGCCUUGGGCCUUUAUUGUCUCCCUAUAAAGAAAGAAGAUAAAAGAAAAAAUUUCCACAGAUAAAUAUGAUAGCCCAUCAUAUGAGUUUACAGAAUUAUCUGAAUAUUCAUGACCCUGCCAACCACGGAUCUGGAGCCCAUAAACAUUAAUUUUUUCCUGCGUUUGUGAUUGGUAGCUUUAAUUAAGCGUUUAUGAAUAAGAACCUUACGGAAAUGGCGGGAGAACAUCAAGAAGAUUUUGAAAUAAUCGAAGGAAAAAAAAGAACAGCCUUUAUCAAUAAAAGUAGAAUUAAGAAACCAAAGCCACUUUUAGGAGGUUCCUUAAAUUAUACUGAGCGAAUUUCUUGGGAAACUUCAUUAAAUUAUCAUUAACGUUUAAUUAAUUUUUUACUUAACAGUCUUCUACUAUUCAUUGUAAAUAAUCAUUUAGAUGAUGACUUUUGUGUUCCUCUGAAAGAAUAGGGAAGAGCUAUAGGAGGCAAACAGAAAACAAAAAGGUAAGAAGACAAAAAUUCGUAGAUAACCGCAUCUCCCAUUUUCAAUAGGUAUUCCCAACAAUUAUUUUCUCUUCUUCAAUUUAGGCCUGUAUACAUCUUUUGAUUCAAAUAUAAUGAAAAGUCAAAAUCCCAAUAGGUAAAAAGCACAUGAAUAAUUUAAUCGCCAUAAUGAUAGAAAUAAGUGACAACAUCAAAAAAAAUAUGUCGGGCCUUUGGCAAGGUUCUCAUCCAUAUGAUCUAUAGCAUCUUCAAAUGGAAAGGACACAUUUAUGGAAACGGACAAGACACUUACAGAGAAUGUAGGAUUAUGGAAAUCAUUAAGAAAGACAGUGUUUAGAUCCUUGAAUAGCCUGUGUCUUGGUGUAUCAUAGCGACCAUCACAAAGAUCUAGACCGCCUAUAAAAGCAGUGAUCUUUCGGGUAUUUUGAGAAGCUUGUGUAUCAACUAACACACAUUUCUGAUGGUGAGUAUACAGGUUUCCCACAACCUAUAUGAAAAAACUAGGACAACGUUAGUGGAUCUCACGAUUCCAGACAUUAACAAAUAAAAAAAAAUUAAUGAAGAUCAGCAUGCUCAAAAAGAAGCAGAAACUAUUAACAACAUGACUGUCCAUGUCAGACCACAGAUGAUCAAACAUCACCGGUUAAAGUAUGAAUGGAAAAAAUCCCUUUUAAAAAAAACAAUGUGCGUCUAUUUUGGAUUAUCAUAUGAUCAACAAUCAGUUCAAUAACUAAAAGGAUAAAAGAACGUACAUAGGUAUUAAACAUGAUUUCCUGAAGAUAUCGUCGAUGGAAAAAUUUUGGUUGACUUCACACCGAUUUCCAUAUUCCAUUAUCCAAAUUUGUUCUCACUACUGUUCAGCCCAGAUUCUAUGGAGCGUAUUUUUCCAUAACUAUCAAUGCAGAAACUCACAUUUAGAUUCUAGGCGCUAGUUUGUUAGCCUCGCAUUAGUGAAAAGUUACAAGAAUAAAUGUAAAGAAUAAUAUUAGAUUUCAAUGUCAUAUGCUCCCCAUGGUUUCGAACUUGAAUUUUCACUUAAGAGCCACAUUAAAUUAUUGGGUUCUAUUUGCUGGAAGCAAUGAGAGAUUAUCCCUCGAGGGUGCCGUCAGUCUCAUCAACCUUUCAAGAAAAAAUUCCCGCAAUAAAAAAAAUUCGCUUAAUCACGGAUAAGGAAAAGGAUCAGAUUAGUUCAGAGAACCAAAAAUACAGGGUCAUACUGCAGAGAGAAUCAGAAAGAAGAAAAAUGCUCAUAACGCACGAACCAAAUCUGUCAGCAAACGUCUAAGAACUAAACUGGGUACCGACAAGCAGAGAUGAUCAUUCCAUCAGAAUUUACUUCUUGAUGAUUGCAAAUGCCGUUGAAGAAUAGAAGCUCAUUCCUAUGUCAUGCGUGCAUAUUUUUGCAGGAAAACAGGGCUACAACACUAUUAAAAAAAGGGAUAUAAAAUAAAUGAUAUUGACUUAAAUAAUUUGAAUGGGUGCAUGAACAUAUUUUUAUGAUGGACUGUCACUGGAGAGGAGAAACCAAGGAAAUUCCAUCAACUAAGUAUUUUUGAUCAUGGAUUUCUUUAAUGAAUAAGACAACCUCAUUGGAGACUCCAGCGUAAUAAAAGGAGAGCUUUCUUUAACAAGAACAAAAGCAGGGCUUAACCUGUUGCCUGAAAAGGCUGAGUUUCCUGCUGGCGUCACGAGGUGACAGCAAACAAAUAACAGAAGAGUGCUUGAAAAAUCUCCGUGUUUCCUCAUCGUGAGUUUGCAUCACUCCUUCCUGCGACAAUCAUCAAAUUUUAAUGUUGAGAUCAUAUACUUUAAAGAGAGAGAAACGAUUGCCGACUAUUAGCAAAAAUUUCAGACAUAAUAAAGAUUUAAAAAGUCAAAAUUACACAAGAAAGUUGACGUUUCUUCAGACACAAAAACCCGAUACUAAUUUCUUUCACCAUUAGUCAUCGCCAACGUGUUAAGCAAGGAGAAAAGAAGGGCCACAUCAAAAUUACUAAAUUCAGUCAACCAGCCAGAGAACCAGCUCACAGGCGUAAUAAAAAAUUUGUUGACCAUCCAUCUCAGGGUCCUGGGUCAUAAUCGAAGUCAAACAUGUUCAUAGAUCGAUCACAUACCGUUUUGAGAAUCAAAUUGUCCCGAGACGUCCUAUCAUCCCAGAUUAGCAGGCACACCCUCACGCCUUCCUGGGACUUAUGCUUGAGCAGCUCCCCCAAAGUCAGGCUCGCAGCUUCUGGGAACGAUCUUGUGGGCUCUCUCACCAGCCUGAUCUUGUCGUAGACUGACCAACCCGCGAUAUAAAUAAGGUGGCGAGCCUCCAGCAUCGCAUGGCAGAGAUCCUCCCAGCACUUGGCAUGGUCGAAUGCCUUCCCGCCCUCCAAUUUGAUAUCCGGAAGGUCUCCAUCGUUCACAUGUGCGUCCUGGUACAGCGUCACCAGCCCGCCUUUCCUCUCGGGGAAGUACGUUCCCAGGACACCCGACUUCUGAGCAUCGCCAGGUACGCCGUAUUUGUAUGCUGAGCUGAGCUCCACGGGCUUGUACUGCAGCGAGAUCAGGAGCGCCGAAUCUGGUUUGGGGGGCUUGCCAGAGGACCCGAUGAUGGGGAACCAGUCCCGAACGAGAUCCCCUGAGACUAUCCGGCUGGCUGGGAUUUUCACGGUCCCGAUAUUCUCUGCGCCGAAAACAUCAUUUUCCUUGACUAGAAGCUCGACGAAGGCCGUCGGAUGGGCCACCGGGAAGACGAAGUGCUCGUUCCAGACGGGAAAUUCGGCGUUGCUUAUCACGGCUGUGCGGGCAACGGUGGCGCCCCCAAGGCGGACGGUAACGUAGGGAUCACUGGUGAUCUUGCGGUACCGGAGGUUGUGAUGACUCUGGGAGGAGGAAGAGGCGGCAGGGGCGGAGGCGAAGGCGGCCGCCUCCUCUUGCUGGCCUCUCACACAGCAAGAUGGGAAGCACUGGUGCAGGCGCACAGAAAACAUGUCCAUAUUGGGGAGGCUACGAGCCUCGAAGAUCCAUAGUUCGAGCUCGCCAUGAAGCAAGAUGUCCUCCGAGGAGGAGCGAUCGGAACUAGCAGGAGCGCCAUUUACUGGCGCCGCUGGCGGUGGAGGAGCGGCCAUGGAACCACCACCGAUAUGACCGUCAAGGGGCCUAUAAAACUGCGGCUCGGCCGCCGACAGUUGAGGUGACGAGCGACAAAGGAAAGGCACAUCGCUCUUUACUUGCUCCCUCCCCUCGCAGAGAUUCGGGACCUGCGGGCAUCUGAGAGUCCUCCAUCUCAAGCUUAGAUCCCGAUGCUCUGCCGAAGAGAAGGUGAAACCGAAGAUCCACGAGGAGCCACGCCACUCUCUGCUCCCAAGGGCAACCCUACCGCGUCCGCCCCCCGCUCCCCGGCCUCUCCUCGCUCUGCUCUCUCCCUUCAGCCCGGCGACAGAGUAGAAGCAACGAUCGCCGCGAGAGGCACGUCGUCCGCCGGCGCCCCCCACCCCCCCAACCCUGGUCGUUGGUCGAGAGCUCUCUCGAAGCCGAGGGUUAGCAGUCAACUCCAGGGAAGAGGCAAAACCCUCAGUAUUUAUAGGCAUUAAUAGUUGACUUCCUGUGUCACCGUCAAUGCAAGCUGUCAACUAGGGGGUUUAUCCAUCAAGUCAACUAAUCGUGAGACGUCGGGGGGGAAGACGCGAGCGGAUGGCGGUGGGGCCAGGCACGGACGAGCAGGUCAAUGCUCGACGCGUGGGCGCAGGCGCGGUCUCUCACGUGCGCCAUCAAUGGAGAGCCCACGACGGCACGUGGGGAAAAAUGCCCUAAAUGACCAAUCAACCAUCAUUUAAAUUGUAUUUAUUAUGCUCCCAUGUAGUUUCCCACUGGAAUAAGGGUAAUAUGGUCUUUUAUGGCUGUGCCGCGUCGAAUGUCACGUGCGCGGGCGCUUGGUUCGUUCUCAUCUUCUUUCUAUCUCUCUCUCUCUCUCUCUCUCUCUCUCUGGUAUAUAAAAGGGCUGGGCUGGUGAGCGAUGUAGAUCUUCUUGAAGGAAUUGCUGCAGUUGACCAGAGUGGAGGAGAGCCGAGGACGAGGGUGGUGCCGUCGAUUCUUCGUCGUUCUCUGCCGCAAUGGCGAAGGGUCUCAUGCGGAAUUCGCGGCCUUACCUAGGGAGGAGGUCGUCAUCGCGUUGGACGAUGGUGCUGACGGUUCUGCUGACGCUGUCCGUUGUCCUACUGCUGCUGCUCGCCCUCGGCAUCUUCUCCCUGCCAGUCUCCAGCGACACCUCCGAGGGCGAGCAUCCCGUUGAGCGGCACCUGGAGAGCACGUAUCAUGCGACCAAGAGGAAGGUGGUUCAUAGGUGCGCACAUCCGCCGCCCUCUUCACAAUCUGGUCAUCCUGGGGGAAGACCUGGCGAGAUCUUUCCCUGAUAGGAGUAUGGCUGAUGGAUCUGGAGGUUUUCUUGUUUUCUUUUUCCUUUGCAGCGAUGGACUAGGGACGAGAGGGGAUCAGUGGACGGAGGUCCUCUCCUGGGAGCCGAGGGCGUUCAUGUAUCAUAAUUUCCUGGUGCGGCAUCCAAUUCUUUGUUCACAAUUCUUCGUUUUCCCACUUUUUUUCCUAAAUUAUCCCUAGGUGGUGGGAGAUCUGGCUGUGAAACCCCCCCUCCCAGUUCAGCGUUCUGAAUGUACUUAUUCCUUGCUUUUGUUGCUCAUUUGUCUGAUUUGAAAGAAUGCUUCGCGAAUUAACUUCAUGUGCCCGAAUUAUGUCAUGAGAAUCUACAAUGAACGUAAUUACCGGUCCACAGUCACUAAUUUUUAAGAAAAAAAUGUAUGUUCAAAAAUCUCUUUCGACUAAUAUUAUUCUCGUUGAAAACUUUGUUCCUUCGUCCCUCUGCUUUAAACUUUUAGUUUUUGUUCAAUUUUUUUUUUCAAUUGAGAAGGACAGAACGUGACUACAGAUUUUUUUUUUUUUCUAGAGUCCUUUGUGUGGUGAGUUCAUUUUCCUGGAUAAUUGAUACGUAAAACCCGCAGAUUUACAUAUUUAAACAAAAAUAGAUAUCCGCUAUUCACUGUUGGAGGUUCUUUACGAUUUGUGACGUUUUUAACGUUUAAUCAGUGCAGCUUUGUUCCUUGAUCCUGGGCAGCUGUUUAUUUCCUUCUUUUAUCAUCCUUUCCAUCCAACUACUUCCCACUGGAUACAAUUGAUCUGGAUGACGACAUUAUUCCGUUGAGAUGAAUUUUAGUCUUUAAGAUUCCAAAUUUGGCACUUGGCCACACACAAAUGAAAAGGAGAAGAGAGUAAUCUUUAUGUUCGGAAGCUUUUCUAUUCAGAGUUAUCUCAUUGUACAGAACGUGCAGCUUUAUUAGAAGUUCAUUGUACCAUAGAAAGGGUGCUAUUUGAUGGUAUUUUCUAUAAAGAAGCUGUGAAAUGUGAGCAUAUUUUAAGAUAUCGAUUCCAAAAUUGUUUAAGAGUAGCCUAGUCUAGUAGGGGAAGGCCAGGUCAUGAAGGAAUGGCAAUUUACUCGUGAAUUUAUAGCUAUUAGUGAUAUUAUCUUGAGAGAUUGUCCAAUAUGUUCGGACAAAACUGGAGGUGUUAUGCAGGAUCCGAAGUUGAUUUUUUGCAUUUUACUGUUCGACAGAGUCGAUACUUUUGAGUUUUUAACCUUGUUUAUCAGAGCAGAGCAGGAUCCAAUAUUGUUAUGACAAAGAUUUAUUACCUGAGAUGCAUUUUUUCCUUUUUGUUAAAGCAUAUGUAGUAUUUAAAGAAGAAUUCACAAAUACUGAGAGUUGAUGCAAAUUCAAGCUUUAUAUUUUUUUGUGCAGUCCAAGGAAGAAUGCGAGUAUUUAAUUGAGCUGGCCAAACCUAACAUGGAAAAGUCAACAGUUGUUGAUAGUGAAACUGGUAAAAGUAAAGAUAGCAGGUUGGUACAACGGGCAUCUUUAAUUUUGAAAUUUAAAUUAAUCAGCCAAUAAUCGUCUAUAUCUGGAAUUGAAUUUUUUUUAUUUUAUUUAUGACCUUUCUCCCAAAAUCACUGCAUUUCAUAUGGUGCAUCAUGAUUUUUGAGAUUCCUGGGUUUCUAAGGUAUGUUUCCUCCAUAUUAAGUGGUCUUCUUGACUCCAUGGCUUAUGCCUCAUACCUCCUUUGUUGUAACCUCCUAAAGUUGCUCGUCAUACCACUACUUAUAACACUUGUUGAUUAGCCAGGGAAACUCGUAAACACAAGAUUUUUUAAAUGAUGAUUGAAGUGCUUAGCAUGUCAAAAUCUUCCAUCUAUAUUAUACAUUAUGUAAUUCUGCCAUUGGUUUUUACUGUUAUAAUUAGUGGCUUAUUUGACAGGGUUCGCACAAGCUCUGGAACAUUUCUUAAGAGAGGGCAAGACAAAAUCAUCCGGGCAAUUGAGAAAAGAAUUUCAGAUUUCACCUUCAUUCCUGUGGGUAAGCCUCAGUGGCAAUCCAUACAUUAAAACACGUGAUUAUGCUCUUCUGUGUACCUUUGGGACUCUGGCUUGCAUAAGUUAUGAUUAAAGCAUAAUUAUUUAGUAUGAUCACUAAUCUUUAGAUCUUUACCUUAAACUAGUUCUGAUUCUGGACUCCUCACUGCACUGCCUUUAUAGUCCUGCCAUGGCUAUGAUCUUGCUUUACAAAAUUCGGUCAUUACUUUAUAACUCCUGUUUCUUGACAUAAAAAUUCCAAUAAUGUGCACAUUUUUGCCUCUUGAUUCCAAGUGCGAAAAUACGAUUUGGCAGGGAAUCAUGAUUUUAAGCGAAUUUGUUUCGGCGAGUUGUGUGUGAACAUCACCUCGUACUCUUCUGUUGAUUCUUCUAUUGUCUGGUGUACAUAUUGCUUCACUUUCUUCCCUAAUUUAUAAUUUUCAUUGCGUCCUUUUUUUUUGUCAUCUCUUUAGCUUUAGUUCAUGUGUUGAUUUAAUGGAUUUACUACAGAGCACGGAGAAGGUCUUCAAAUUCUCCACUAUGAAAUUGGACAGAAGUACGAACCACAUUGGGAUUACUUCCUCGACGAAGUCAACACCCAAAAUGGAGGACAACGGAUUGCUACUCUUCUCAUGUAUCUGUGAGCAUCUUGAUACCUCGUUCAUCGGUGCUUUAAGUAUAUGCCCGCUUACUUUGGAUCAACUAUAUUUAACCCAUUGCCCUUGUCUAUUUAUAAAUAAAGCUCUGAUGUUGAAGAAGGAGGAGAGACGAUUUUUCCCUCUGCAACGUCAGUCAACGUCAGUUCUAUACCAGACUACAAGGAUCUAUCCGAAUGCGGUAGAAGGGGCCUCGGUGUCAAGCCAAGAAGGGGAGACGCUCUACUUUUCUGGAGCAUGAGGCCUGAUGCCACUCUUGAUCCGCUGAGCCUUCACGGUGAUUAUACGAAUGUGAUUUAGUUUCUUUCUCCAAAGUCCUUCAGUUCUCUGCCUUGAAUACCUGUUGCAGGGGUCUGAAGUCAAAUAGAUGUUCUUGUUUUCCCGUUUGAAGUCAAAUAUUUUAUUCCACGCUUGCCAUUUAUGGAAUGUUCUGCAAAUCUCUUACAGGAGGAUGCCCCGUGAUCAAGGGGAAUAAAUGGUCUUCUACAAAGUGGAUGCGAGUCCAUGAGCACCGGUCCUAUUAGACGCACUGAAGGUACUCCUCUUGUUUCAAAAUUGCUUCAUUUACUCCUCCCCUUGUAGAUACAUACGGGCGUUGACCCGCGCUGUGGGGAUUCAGGUAAGUCAACGAUUCGAGUUGCCCAGGACCACAUGUGAGGAUUAGAUACUCGAACAUCUUGCAUUUUCAGGUGUGCCCAGUGAAUGAAAUCUUUGAAAUGAUUUUUUUAAAAAAAGUACCAAAUACGUGUCAUGUUAGCCGCAUUUUUCCUGGCUUUUUUUUUGGGAAUCCCCCAUUUAAGGUAUAAUCUUAGGUUAUCUGCAUUCUAUAUUAUCAUUUUUUUCAUCAUGGGUAGUAGGAUAGGAGGGCACGGGCAGAGUCAACGCACCGAGUGCGUGGCCAGAGAAAACGGGUACCUAGUAGCUAGAGGCUGUUCUUGAUCCCGAGGAGCCUGUUCGGUGCUGUGAGUCAACUGCCCGAAGAAGUUUCGGAUGAUGUAGACAAAAGUCAAACUGCCCAUAUGAGGCAAUUUGUAGAAUCAUGAUGCUGUGUGAAACGGGAAGCUGCAAUUCAUUUUACAGGAUUAAACGGGUCUGAGACUCUGCUAAUGUUUCUUCUCGUCGUCCCUCCGUCUCCACAGGUGUCCAAGCUGGGGGGGGGGGGGAGAACGCCCGUUGACUAUCAUCAUCUCCUGUUCUUCCCACUUGGAGCCCACGAAAGCGAUGCCGGCUUCCUGAGAAAUGCGGAGCCGCCCACCUUAACAUGAGAAUUAGAUAUCAUCACAUCCUCGUCCCAGGUAUGAUUCAGCUUCAGACCCCUUUGCUUGGAGGGUGACUGUGAGUUCGGCAUUUGAGAGGGUUGACUCCCGGCGUUGACCUUGCGGUCUGGCGGCGGUGUGUAAAAAAAGAAAAAAAAAACAAACCGAUGCCGAUGUUCUUCUGCGCUGAUGUCUCUCGUCGGUGUUCUUGUCGCGCAAGGUAUGAACAAUUAGCCGCCGAUCCGUGCGAAAUGGCCGGGCUUUCUACUGAGAGAACUCGCUUUCUUUCUUUCUUUCUUUCUUUCUUUCUUGAUGCGUUGCUUGUUCUUCACGAGAUAUCAUCCUGCUUUCCUAAUCCAGUCUAGGGAAGGCUCUCUGUCCGUUGACUUUCCAUCAGCGGGAUGGAUGGACACAUCUUGGGUGCAUGCCCAGCCUGCCUGCCUCCCACCCACGCCCCUCUGCCCGUUGACUUUCCGUCGACGUGUUGGAUGGAGGCAUCUUGGUAUCCCCAUUCCACCUCCCUCCCACCCCACUCUGCCGUUGACUUGCUGUCGACGUGUUGGAUGGACGGCAUGUUGAUACGCCCCGUCCCACCUCCCCCUCUCCGUCCCCAGUUCUUAACAGCCUCGCCGUAACAAGUCUCUCAGCCCCCGCAUCGCCGCCCUUCUCGUCUCCAUGGGACUUGGAAACCCCUCCGUCAACCACACCCAUCGACGCCCCUCCUCGCCAUGAGAGAGAGAGAGAGAGAGAUAAAAAAAUAGUGGCUGGAAUAAUCUCUGAAGCGACGGUCUAAUCCGAGAGAAGGAAGCGCUUUUAUUCCCUCUUUUAUUGAUCCCCUUGUCUGGGGGUGCGAAAGCAAACCCAAAACGUCGCGCGGACUCCCGGGGCACUAAAAUGUUGCCGGCAAGAACGUCAGCCUCUUCAGUCCGGUCGGGGACGGAUUCAG